CAUUCAUUGACUCAUCUAAUGAAGGGGAAGUGCUGGGUCCUCUACGACAUAUGGAUUGAACAAUCUGCCUAGAUGAGGGUGAUGAAAUUGUUUCCCAUCACCCUAGUCUAACCUCCACUAUGAUAAGUUGGAAAUAUGGAAGACGAAAGAGUAACCAACAUGGUAGCUGACAAUAGUAAGGAGAAAAUGACAAAGGUUGUUCAUAGUAAAAAAUAAUUUCUGAACUUGGAAUUGGAAUCCGGUUCAGGAGCCCAACAUUUUCGGUUACUGACCCACUUACCGAUGACGAUGCUUCGGAAAAGUGUGAAAUACUAGGUAUUUUCCUAAAUACUAAUUAACUUAAAUAAUUAACAUAUAAUUUAUUGUAUUAAUCAUACACAAACUUUGUAAUGCCACAGUGGAUGAGGAUAUCUUUAUAAAUAAAGAAGAAGAGAAAUGUUCCACAUGCUGACACCUCACCUCUCCUAUCCCUUUUUUCACCACGUGUUGAGCAGACACCGCCUCUUCUUUUCCCUUUUGUUUUGAACUCUCGGUUCUUAUCCUUCUUUUUUUGUUUUGUGUUUCGAAACGUGAAUCGACUGGGCUUUGUGUUUCAUUAUUGGGCCAUGCUUUCGUCAUCUUACUCUUCUCUCAGCUCUCCACGUCGGCAACGAAAUUCAUGAAUGUUAACGUUGUUCACGGGUCUGAUGUUUCAAUUAUUAUAUGUUUUAUAUUUAGGCCAGUAUAUUUUUGUUAUCCAGGAAAGCCCAAUAAAUUUAUUUGUUAUUGAUAUAGGUGGCUCAGUGGACUGUUUAUUUAAUGGGCAAACAAUCCAUAUUUUUGGGUCGAUAAUGGAGUCUGGUGGCUUACCGGAGGUUGACUAUUUCUGACCAAACUCCGCUGGAAGCUGCCAACGUGUCGAAUCAACUGGAUUUAUUCUCAACAUUACGGAGCUCGACUGGAUUCAAUCACUGCCAUUAAUGUUCUUCCUAAUUCCAUUUUCCCACUACUUCCACCAUUUCUCAUUCAAUGAAUCUCACUUUGCUUUCAGUUGGUGAAUCUGAUGGUAUAAAUAGAUGAAUCUUGAUCCCGUAAACUUCAUCCUUUUCAUUCCACCCAAUCAUAAUAACCUCUUUCAUUUAAUAAAGUAGAAGAGAAAUGCUCCACAUGCUGACACCUCACCUCUCCUAUCCUUUUUUUUCCGCCACGUGUCGAGCAGACACCGCCUCUUCUUUUCCCUUUUGUUUUGAACUCUCGGUUCUUCUCCUUCUUUUUCGUUUUGUGUUUCGAAACAUGAAUUGAUUGGGCUUUGUGUUUCAUUAUUGGGCCAUGCUUUCGUCAUCUUACUCUUCUCUCAGCUCUCCACGUCGGCAACGAAAUUCGUGAAUGUUAACGUUGUUCACGGGUCUGAUGUUUCAAUUAUUAUGUGUUUUAUAUUUAGGCCAGUAUAUUUUUGUUAUCCAGGGAAGUCUAAUAAAUUUAUUUGUUAUUGAUAUAGGUGGCUCAGUGGACUGUUUAUUUAAUGGGCAAACAAUCCAUAUUUUUGGGUCGAUAAUGGAGUCGGGUGGCUUACCGAGGUUGACUAUUUCUGACCAAACUCCGCUGGAAGCUGGCAACGUGUCAAAUCAACUGGAUUUAUUCUCAACAUUACGGAACUCGACUGGAUUCAAUCACUGCUAUUAAUGUUCUUCCUAAUUUCAUUUCCCACUACUUCCACCAUUUCUCAUUCAAUGAAUCUCACUUUGCUUUCAGUUGGUGAAUCUGAUGGUAUAAAUAGAUGAAUCUUGAUACCAUAAACUUCAUCCUUUUCAUUCCACCCAAUCAUAAUAACCUCUUUCAUUUAAAGAUGGGCGUUCAAGCCACUUUUUUUUAUUACCAUCAUGUUCAGCCAUCAAAUUUUGUUUGCAUUAACGGUAAGUUUCAGUUACUAAUUUCGUGACAGAGCGCAAGCAUAUAGUGAUUGAAUUCUUAUCGGUUUGAAAAUCCUGCAGAAGAUGUCUUGGAGGUUUCAGUUAAGAAGAAUGAAAAAAACUCCCAAACAGAAAGAAUUGAUCUCUAGGAUUUGCUUGCUCACAUAGAGUGCUUUGAAAGAGUAGACAUUGUUCUUUGAUUUGAUUUCUGGAUUGUUCUUAGUUUUGUUUAUGUUUCUUCUUGGUUUUUGUCCAUUGUGAUUGAAGAAACAAUUCAAUAAUGUUCUUCACAUUUCAGAGUCUGAACUUGGCACUUGAAUCUUCUUAUUGCUGAGUAAAAGUCACACCUUUAUUUAUAGAUAUUUCUGAAACAUUAAAGAGUUGCUUAUAUAUAGAUUUUAAAAAUAUAUGAAGAUGUGAAAGUGAGUAUAGUGGUGGGGGAGGAGGAUUGAUUGCCUCCACCGGAAAAUGUUAUCUUCAGUAAAUUCAAAGAGUUCGAUGAAGAUUCAACCGUUAAAUCAUUGAGGUAGUUUUGCUCUGUUUUUCACAUACCUUGCUCUGUUUUUCACAUUUUCAACAAAUGUCAUUCAUGAAACAAGCAAAAGGGAUCAAUGAAUUCCAAAAGCUUUAUGCACAACUGGACAUGACGUUAACACAAAGAUUAAUUGUGUCAUGUUUGUUUUAUUUUUAGUGUUUAUAGAAAUAGAUGAUGGCAGAGGUAACUGAUGAAACACUUGACAAAGACAGGAUGAAAGUAAAAAUGAAGAUCUCGCUAAACUAUGUAGUUAUUUGCAUUUCAAUCACAAGAUUCAUACUCACACACUUUUCAUUGGUUUUCUUCAAGCUUCUUCUAACUAGCUCAUUACUUUUGUGUUGAUCUCAUAGGUUCUUGAUGAGAUAAGUAUUUGUGUUGCAUUUCAGCUUUGUUUUCUUAAAAUAGUUUUGUUAAAUAUGUCACGGAAAACAAUCCUAGGUGGUUUAACCUAAAACUUUGUUU